UUUUUUUAAACUACUUGGAUAACCGUAGUAAUUCUAGAGCUAAUACAUGCUAAAAGUCCCGACUUUUCGGAAGGGAUGCAUUUAUUAGAUACAAAAACCAAUGCAAUUGUUCUCAAAAUUUUUUUUGAGGAUAUUUGCCAAAUGGUGAUUCAUGAUAACUUUGCGAAUCGCAUUGCUUCGUGCAGGCGAUGAAUCAUUCAAAUUUCUGCCCUAUCAACUUUCGAUGGUAGUGUAGUGGACUACCAUGGUUAUAACGGGUAACGGAGGAUUAGGGUUCGAUUCCGGAGAGGGUGCCUGAGAAAUGGCAACCACUUCCAAGGAAGGCAGCAGGCGCGCAAAUUACCCAAUCGCAAUACGCGGAGGUAGUGACAAUAAAUAACAAUACAGGUCCCGACAAGGGACUUGUAAUUGGAAUGAGUACAAUUUAAACCCCUUAACAAGGAACAAUUGGAGGACAAGUCUGGUGCCAGCACCCGCGGUAAUUCCAGCUCCAAUAGCGUAUAUUAAAGUUGUUGCAGUUAAAAAGCUCGUAGUUGGAUUUUGGAAGUUCGUGGAUGUUGGGUGUUUUUUCGGGUGGAUUGGUUUUUUUCUAGUUCACUCGGGAAUACAUUUACUCUACGUUUCUUGGAAUCAAGGUGGAAUUUUUUUGGGGGGGGAGAAAUUGAGAAAGGGAAGAGAAGCAAUUCUUUUUCUUUUUUUUCUUUUUCCUUUUCUGGAAUUUUUUCAUCUCCUUGAAAAUGGGAACCGGUCUACUUGAACUUUUUUUUGGGUUUAAGUGUGUACUGUUCUCAGGCUUCUUAUUUUGGGUCAGUCCAUUUCUGCUCUUAAGUGAGUGGAGAUGAAGGCUCCCAAUCGUUUACUUUGAAAAAAUUAGAGUGUUUAAAGCAGGCUUUUAUUGCCUUGAAUACCUUAGCAUGGGAUAACGGAACCCGGCCGGGGGCUUGUUUCGUUGGUUUAAAAAAAGAAAAAAGGAAAAAAGGGGGGGGGAAGCAAUUCUUUUUUUUUUUUUUUUUCCUUUUUUUUUGAGUCUCAAGUAAUGAUUAAUAGAAAUAGUUGGGGACAUUUAUAUUCCAUGGCUAGAGGUGAAAUUCUUGGAUUCAUGGAAGAUAAACUAAUGCGAAAGCAUCUGUCAAGGAUGUUUUCAUUAAUCAAGAACGAAAGUUAGGGGAUCGAAGACGAUCAGAUACCGUCGUAGUCUUAACUAUAAACUAUGCCGACCAGGGAUUGGGAGACGUUACGUGGAUGACUCCCCCAGCACCUUGAGAGAAAUCA
rnacentral:rRNA from 1 species